UGCGGUGGUUUGAGCGAGACGGCCCGACCUGAUCCCAUCCCGAACUCAGAAGUCAAACGUUUCAGCGGAGACGAUACUAGGGUCGAAAGGCCCCGGGACAAUAUCUCACUGCCGUAC
rnacentral:rRNA from 2 species